GAUGAACGCUAGCUACAGGCUUAACACAUGCAAGUCGAGGGACCGGCGCACGGGUGAGUAACACGUAUCCAACCUGCCCUUUACUCGGGGAUAGCCUUUCGAAAGAAAGAUUAAUACCCGAUAUCAAGGAUGGGGAUGCGUUCCAUUAGGUUGUUGGUGAUGUAACGUCCCACCAAGCCUUCGAUGGAUAGGGGGUCGGAGAGGAAGGUCCCCAACAGUGUAACUGAGACCCGGUCUAAACUCCUACGGGAGGCAGCAGUGAGGAAUAUUGGUCAAUGGGCGUUAGCCUGAACCAGCCAAGUAGCGUGAAGGAUGAAGGCUUAUGGGUCUUAAACUUCUUUUAUAUAAGAAUAUGUAUUAUAUGAAUAAGGAUCGGCUAACUCCGUGCCAGCAGCCGCGGUAAUUC
rnacentral:rRNA from 1 species